UAACCAGGGAAUGUGAAAGAAGGGGACAAUUUUUAAAAUUAAUUUGUUCUUCUAGCACCUUUUGGGGUUCAUGCCUUCAAGUAUUUUAAAUCUCAUCCUUGCAGAAGUGAUUGAGUACCUGGAACCAGGGUGUGAAAAAUGUAAGUCAUAGACUAUGUUGGCAGGCCUGAACAUGGGAAGAUAGAAAAUUGACCGCCAUCUACAUACGACAUAAUUUUCUGCUUCAGCCUGAGAUCCCAAGAACCACUCCCCUUCCUAUGCCAUGUAGUAAAACUCACAUCACCUCUUUUAGUUCAUUUAAAAGGCCUUCCUGUCUGCAUAAAGAUGAUUUAGUGUGUAGCAAAUCCUGAGAUUGUUUUAAAGCACUGUUUAAAGUUCAAACUCAACAGCUGGAUUUUUUUUCCCUCUGCUUUGAAGAGAGUCACUAUAGUUGGAACAACUUAUUCACGCUAGCUCUUUGAAACACCUGUGUUCCAGGUGAAGCCAAAAAAAAAAAAAAAAAAA
rnacentral:lncRNA from 1 species